CGGUAACGGCGAGUGAAGCGGCAACAGCUCAAAUUUGAAAUCUGGCUCCUUCGGGGUCCGAAUUGUAAUUUGUAGAGAGUGCUUCGGGCGAGACCUCGGUCUAAGUCCAUUGGAACAUGGUGUCAUAGAGGGUGAGAAUCCCGUAUGCGACCGUGGCUCGAGCCCAUGUGAAGCCUCUUCGACGAGUCGAGUUGUUUGGGAAUGCAGCUCAAAAUGGGUGGUAAAUUUCAUCUAAAGCUAAAUACUGGCUGGAGACCGAUAGCGCACAAGUAGAGUGAUCGAAAGAUGAAAAGCACUUUGGAAAGAGAGUCAAACAGUACGUGAAAUUGUUGAAAGGGAAGCGCUUGCAACCAGACCUGCCCGUAGGCGAUCAGCCGCUGUUCUCAGCGGUGUACUCGCUCUGCGAUCAGGCCAGCAUCGGUUUCGGCGGUCGGAUAAAGGCCUUGGGAAUGUAGCUUCCCUUCGGGGGAGUCUUAUAGCCCUCGGUGUAAUGCGGCCAGCUGGGACCGAGGACCGCGCUUCGGCUAGGAUGCUGGCGUAAUGGUUGUAAGCGACCCGUCUUGAAACACGGACCAAGGAGUCUAACAUCUAUGCGAGUGUUUGGGUGUCAAACCCAUACGCGGAAUGAAAGUGAACGGAGGUGAGAACCCUUAAGGGCGCAUCAUCGACCGAUCCAGAUGUCUUCGGAUGGAUUUGAGUAUGAGCAUAGCUGUUGGGACCCGAAAGAUGGUGAACUAUGCCUGAAUAGGGUGAAGCCAGAGGAAACUCUGGUGGAGGCUCGCAGCGGUUCUGACGUGCAAAUCGAUCGUCAAAUUUGGGUAUAGGGGCGAAAGACUAAUC
rnacentral:rRNA from 1 species